AAAAAAAAAAGGCCAAUCCUCCAACAAUGAGAUAAGUAAGGAGAAAAAGUGCUUCAUGUAUUGAUAUUCUGUGCAUCUACAAUAUCUCGAGGGAAGAAACAAGCUGAGCUUCAGAUCCUCACCUCUUUAUGAGCUGCCAGUAAUAGAAGAGAAGUUUCGUGUCUCACUUCAUGUAUCCGGAUAAGAAUGCAGUCUGGAAAUCGCCUGCAAAAUGGCUUCUGUUUCCUGGCUUUACAUAUGCUGAAGGAGUGUCCCGGAGAGAAGAUGAUCAUCUGUUGUCAAAAAGUAGCACCUUUUCUAACAAGAACAUUAGGAUUAAAAGCACGAAUCUGGAAUUAUGGCAGCAUAUUAUAAAUGAGAGCAGCUGGAGCACAAAACAACACGCAGAUCUAUGCUUCAUGAAGAAAGUAUGGGAAAAGUACAGCUGGUAUCUACCAACACAAUAAAUGUUGUGCAGAAAGGACAUCCUGAUGCCUUAAAAAUGUCUUUGCUCUCCUCCAUUCCUCAUGGACAUCUCUCCUAAGGUAUUUGGCAAUCAGUCAGUUUUGUUUGCUUCUGAAUGAAUUUUCAGAAAUGUGUUGUUGAAGAGCAAGAUUUUUCGGCAGUGGGAUGGAGAGGCCAUUGGCAGCGAGGUACAGGAGCCCUGAGCACAACAGCUUUUCAGGAGAGGGUUUUUAAUGGGUAGGAUUUUCACUUCUACUAAUAAUUAUUUCUUUUGGGAUUGAGUGAUGUUCUCCGGCUUUUUUUUACUGUUAUUGGGAGUUACGUGAAGGUCUGAAACUGGCCACUGUAGUAAAGGGAACUACAUUCUAUUCACACAGCAUAUGAAAAAGCCCUGUAUUUCACAGUAUGGUGCCAAGAAACCCUUAAUUUUCAUCUGCAUGUCUGUAAGAGGGAAUUGAUCUGUAUUUUUUGU